rnacentral:rRNA from 1 species
UACGGGGGGGGCAAGCGUUGUUCGGAAUUACUGGGCGUAAAGGGCUCGUAGGUGGCCAACUAAGUCAGACGUGAAAUCCCUCGGCUCAACUGAGGAACUGCACGGGAUACUGGAUGACUUGAGUUCGGGAGAGGGAAGCGGAAUUCCGGGUGUAGCGGUGAAAUGCGUAGAUAUCCGGAGGAACACCGGUGGCGAAGGCGGCUUCCUGGACCGACACUGACGCUGAGGCGCGAAAGCGUGGGGAGCAAACAGG